rnacentral:rRNA from 1 species
GAUGAACGCUGGCGGCGUGCCUAAUACAUGCAAGUCGAGCGAACAGAUGAGGAGCUUGCUCCUCUGACGUUAGCGGCGGACGGGUGAGUAACACGUGGAUAACCUACCUAUAAGACUGGGAUAACUUCGGGAAACCGGAGCUAAUACCGGAUAAUAUAUUGAACCGCAUGGUUCAAUAGUGAAAGACGGUUUUGCUGUCACUUAUAGAUGGAUCCGCGCCGCAUUAGCUAGUUGGUAAGGUAACGGCUUACCAAGGCAACGAUGCGUAGCCGACCUGAGAGGGUGAUCGGCCACACUGGAACUGAGACACGGUCCAGACUCCUACGGGAGGCAGCAGUAGGGAAUCUUCCGCAAUGGGCGAAAGCCUGACGGAGCAACGCCGCGUGAGUGAUGAAGGUCUUCGGAUCGUAAAACUCUGUUAUUAGGGAAGAACAAAUGUGUAAGUAACUAUGCACGUCUUGACGGUACCUAAUCAGAAAGCUACGGCUAACUACGU